CUCCAAGCGAAUUAGGGUUUUGUGUCUCUGCAGCACUUGGGAGGAGGCACGCAGAAGUCAUAGGAGUGUAAAACAGAGACGCAAAAUGAAGCUCUGACGAUGGCAGUAAAAGGAAGCUUAAGAUUCGUGUACGCUCAUUUUCCGAUCAAAGCUAGCAUUGGCAACAACAACAAGUCCAUCAAGAUCAGAAAUUUCCUCGGCGAGAAGAAGAGACAUGUAGGUGCUCGAUCAUAUUUUGAAAAAAGGGAAGCUUCACUUGUAUGGAGUUACAGACAUGCAGGUAUUGAUUUGUUUUUAGGGAGACUAUUAUUUGUUUUGCCUGCUUGAGUUUGGAAGAUUGCAAGCGAGGGACAUACUGCAGCAUCUCUGGACAAGUCCAAUUUCUAAUGCUACUCAAUUGAAAGGAUUUAAAUCAAAGCUUGCGCCAUGUUAUUAUUGAUUUAUUUGAAGCUUUCAUUAUGUAGUUGGCUUCUUAGCUUUCAGAUGAUGCUAAGAUACUUGUAUAUAGCAUUUGAAUCAAUGUGAAUGUGAUCAUAUCACAUUACCUGAAUGGAAUUUGAUGGAUUAAGCUAAUUAUGUCGUUGCUGCUACUUUGGCAUCAUGCCUAAUUGGUUUACUUGAUGCAUGCUCUUCUUUUUUCAGGCUGUGUCCUUUGUGUAAUAAAUUGGAAAGAUUGUUGUUUCUUUUAUGGUGUGUUUGGUAGAGAGGAGAGAAAUAAUAUUGGAGAGAAAAUUUGUAUUUUUUUAUAUUCAUCCUCAGAUAUAUUACAAGUGAUUCUAAUAGUACUCUUUUA